CUCGUAGGCGGCUCGGUAAGUCGGGUGUGAAAUUUCGAGGCUCAACCUCGGAACGCCACUCGAUACUGCCAUGGCUAGAGUACGGUAGAGGAGCGUGGAAUUCCUGGUGUAGCGGUGAAAUGCGCAGAUAUCAGGAGGAACACCAACGGCGAAGGCAGCGCUCUGGGCCGAUACUGACGCUGAGGAGCGAAAGCAUGGGGAGCAAACA
rnacentral:rRNA from 1 species